AUUGAACGCUGGCGGCAUGCUUUACACAUGCAAGUCGAACGGUAACAGGCCGCAAGGUGCUGACGAGUGGCGAACGGGUGAGUAAUGCAUCGGAACGUGCCCAGUCGUGGGGGAUAACGCAGCGAAAGCUGCGCUAAUACCGCAUACGAUCUAUGGAUGAAAGUGGGGGACCAUAAGGCCUCGCGCGAUUGGAGCGGCCGAUGUCAGAUUAGGUAGUUGGUGGGGUAAAGGCUCACCAAGCCAACGAUCUGUAGCUGGUCUGAGAGGACGACCAGCCACACUGGGACUGAGACACGGCCCAGACUCCUACGGGAGGCAGCAGUGGGGAAUUUUGGACAAUGGGCGCAAGCCUGAUCCAGCAAUGCCGCGUGCAGGAAGAAGGCCUUCGGGUUGUAAACUGCUUUUGUACGGAACGAAACGGUCUGGGUUAAUACCUCGGGCUAAUGACGGUACCGUAAGAAUAAGCACCGGCUACCUACGUGCCAGCAGCCGCGGUAACAC
rnacentral:rRNA from 1 species